rnacentral:rRNA from 2 species
UACGUACGAGGCGAGCGUUAUCCGGAAUUACUGGGCGUAAAGCGCGCGCAGGCGGAUAUUUAAGUCGGUCGUGAAAUCUCCCGGCCCAACUGGGAGGGGUCGUCCGAGACUGGGUGUCUUGAGGGCAGCAGAGGUAGGUGGAAUUCCUGGUGUAGUGGUGAAAUGCGUAGAGAUCAGGAGGAACACCGGUGGCGAAGGCGGCCUACUGGGCUGUCACUGACGCUGAGGCGCGAAAGCUCGGGGAGCGAACGGG